AUUGAACGCUGGCGGCAGGCCUAACACAUGCAAGUCGAGCGGAUGAUGGGAGCUUGCUCCUUGAUUCAGCGGCGGACGGGUGAGUAAUGCCUAGGAAUCUGCCUGGUAGUGGGGGACAACGUUUCGAAAGGAACGCUAAUACCGCAUACGUCCUACGGGAGAAAGCAGGGGACCUUCGGGCCUUGCGCUAUCAGAUGAGCCUAGGUCGGAUUAGCUUGUUGGUGAGGUAAUGGUUCACCAAGGCGACGAUCCGUAACUGGUCUGAGAGGAUGAUCAGUCACACUGGAACUGAGACACGGUCCAGACUCCUACGGGAGGCAGCAGUGGGGAAUAUUGGACAAUGGGCGAAAGCCUGAUCCAGCCAUGCCGCGUGUGUGAAGAAGGUCUUCGGAUUGUAAAGCACUCUAAGUUGGGAGGAAGGGUUGUAGAUUAAUACUCUGCAAUUUUGACGUUACCGACAGAAUAAGCACCGGCCAACUCUGUGCCAGCAGCCGCCGUAAUAC
rnacentral:rRNA from 1 species